rnacentral:lncRNA from 1 species
AAUCUUGUCUUUUGCUUAUGUCUAAGUAGGGAGCAUUAUUGCAUAAAUUUGGUCUUGAAAUCUAAAGUUGGGGAGAGUAAAUUAGAAGAAUUGAUAAAAAACUUGAAAAAGUGAUGUUUUAGAAAAGGUGAAAGUGUGAAAAGAAACAAGAAAAAUAAGUCACCUUUGAAAUUAUGGAGCAAAGAAAAAGAAAAGAAAGAAAAAAAACAAAAAGAGAUCUCAUGGUUGUGUGGAUGUUGAAAAAUAAGAAAAGAAAAAAAAAUGGGGAUCAAAAACGGAAUUUGUUGUUGAGUUUGAAUUUAUGGGAAUGCUCCCUUGGGAUAGGUAUUUUUGUUUUUAAUUCUCUUAAUCAUAUUCGAAAGACCUCUUGAUUCUCAAUUUUUCACAUGAUUUAGUGUUUGCUUUGAUAACCGCAUGAUUCG